UCAUAAGACUCGAACCGCGUCGCGUGGGUGGGCUUUUUCUAGAAGCAAAUGCUUCGAAGUUUCGCUGCCCAAAAACCAGACGGAUUGUCAACUCCAUAGUUGUCUACGGCAGAAGAAGUGGGUCAGAAACCAGAAUUUAUUUUCCCCCAAUAACCAGACCCGCACAUCCGUAGAUGGUUGAUCACCAACGCUCUGCUAAUACGGGGGAAAUCACUGUUUGAACCAAGAAUAGGCGAUUGAUCGGUACAUUUUGUGGCAGCCAAUAUUUGGGGAGAUUAGUUUCAGUCCAGCGUGUGGAUAUUUAUUUUGUAGCAUGGCGAUGAUGGGUUCCAUUACAAAAUUAAGCAGGAUUGUAUUUCCUUCUGCUAACAAGGAGGUCUAAUUGAGAGCUUUGUCCAAUGGCUGCUCCAAGGACUCAGACAGCCUCCUCUUUCAAAUCCCGGUAUACUUAUCAGGUCUUCUUGAGUUUUAGCAGCAAAGAUACUGGAACAACCUUUUCAGAUCACCUUCAUGCAGCAUUGGAGCGUGUAGGAAUUCACACCUUUAGGGCCGAUGAUGAGCUUGAGAGAGGAGAAGACAUGGAGUCAGAACUUCAACGAGCAUUCAAAGAAUCCAGGAUCUUGGCAAUUGUGUUCUCAGAAAGCUAUGCUUCUUCUGAACAUUGCCUGGAUGAACUUGUAAAAGUUAAUCUAUGCAGGAAGACGGGUGGGCAUAAAUUUUUGCCAAUCUACUACAAGGUGGACCCAUCUGAAGUUGGGAAGCAGAGAGGGUGUUUUGGAGAAGCAUUUGCAACUCUAGAAAAGCAAUUGGUGGCAGAAACAAGUGAAAGAACAAAGGAAUUGAUGGAGAAGGUGGAGAGCUGGAGGACAACUCUCAAAGAAGUUGCAAAUUUAAGAGGAAUGGUCUUAGAAAACCAAUCUGAUGGGCAUGAAGCGAAGUUUAUCCAGGAAAUUGUCAAAGAGAUUCAAAUCAAGUUGAAGCGUAAAGUCCUUAGCGUUGCCCAAUAUCAAGUUGGAAUAGAUUCUUUAGUUAAAAAAAUCAACUCUUGGUUACAAGAUGGGGCAAGUGACGUUGGCAUAGGAGUGAUAUCUGGAUUGGGUGGAAUAGGGAAGACAAACAUUGCCAAAGUUGUUUAUAACUUAAACUUUGACAGAUUUGAACGCAGUAGUUUUAUUGCAGAUAUUAGGGAGACUUCAAAACAACCUGAUGGAUUGGUCUGUUUACAACAACAACUUCUUUCAGAUAUUCUGAAAGGUAAAAGGCAAAAAGUUUGCAGUGUUGACAAAGGAACUACUAAGAUCGAACAUGCUGUGAGUUGUAAAACUGUUCUUCUUGUUCUUGAUGAUGUGGAUCAAUUGGACCAGUUGAAUGCAGUAAUAGGAAUGGGAGAUUGGUUUUACUCAGGGAGUAAAAUUAUAAUCACAACCAGGUAUGAACAUUUGUUGAAGUCAUAUAAGGUGCAUGAAUUUUAUAAGGUUAAGGAAUUGGACAACAAUGAAUCACUCCAGCUCUUCAGUUGGCAUGCCUUCAAACAAGGCCAUCCGGUUGAAGGUUUCAUGGAGCACUCAAAAAGUAUAAUAAAUCACUGCAGAGGUCUUCCUUUAGCUUUACAACUGUUGGGUUCUUCUCUCUGUGGCAAAACUAUGGAGGAAUGGGAAAUUGCAUUGGAGAAAAUGGACAGAGUCACUGGCAAUCAAAUUCUGGAAAAGCUAGCAAUGAGCUAUAUGUCCUUGCAAGAUGAUCACGACAAGAAAUUAUUCCUCCAUAUUGCUUCAUUUUUCAUCGGGAAAGACAAGGAAUAUGUGAUUAAUGUACUAGAUGAAUGCGAUUUUUGUACAACAGUUGGAAUAGAGAACCUCAAGGAUAGAGGUCUUAUAACAAUUGGAGAAGGGAAUAAAUUGAUGAUGCAUCAAUUGCUCCAAGACAUGGCAAGAAAAAUUAUUCAUGAUGAAUCACCAGAAGAUCCUGGGAAGCGUAGCAUACUGUGUGACCAUAUGGAUUCUUUUCAUGUACUGAAUGGAAAAACUGGUACAGAAAAGGUUCAGGGUCUCAUCCUCAACAUGAAUAUGCUGAAAAAAGAUGAGUCUUCCAUGAUGACUUUUAAUUUGAGUCGAACAAAGCGACUCCCUGGGCAAGGUACAUCAGAUGGAUCCAUUCUGCCAUGCCAAAGCAAUUCAUGGAAAAGGCAGCGUCUUGGGUUAUUCUCUUGGCAACCAAUUACUAAUGCUUUAACAGGAGUAUUUCUCAUGCCAAAGGCAGUGAAUAUCAAAACUGAUGCAUUUGCAAAUAUGCACAAACUGAGACUACUUAAGCUUAAUUUAGUGCAACUCAGUGGAAGCUAUAGAGUGUUUCCAAAAAAAUUAAGAUGGUUGUGUUGGUCUGAAUUUCCUCUAAAAUCUAUUCCUAGUGGUUUUCCUUUGGAAAGCCUGGUUGCUCUAGAGUUGUGCAAUAGCAGAUUGGAGCAAGUCUGGAAAGGAAAAAAGUUCCUCGGAUCAUUGAAAUUUCUGAAUCUCAGUUAUUGCCAUAGCCUUAUCAAAACACCUGACUUCUCAGGACUUCCUUACCUGGAAAGACUAUUGCUUAAGGACUGCACGAGUUUGGCUGAGGUUCAUGAUUCCGUCGGGGACCUAGAGAAUCUUCUUGUUCUGAAUCUCAAAGGCUGUAAAAAUCUUAGGACGCUUCCAAGAAAUAUUGGUCAACUAAAAUCCCUUGAGAAACUCAUUCUAGCAGGUUGCUCGAAGCUGGAAAUGUUGCCCAAGAAGCCUGAGAAAUUGAAGCCUUUGACUGUGCUACAUACUUGUGGAACAGCUAUAUGUCAGUCAUACGCAGGGAUUGAUUCAUGGUCUAAAACACUCCGGUCUUGGCUAUCAACCCAGAGCACAAAUGUCAAUCCAUCAUUGGGUUUUUUUCCAUGCACAUUAAGGAAAUUAAGUCUGAGGGACUGUAACCUGUCUGAUGAUGCUAUUCCAACGGAUCUCAGUGCUUUGUCUUUGUUGUUAGAACUGAAUUUGAGCCAAAACUCAAUUUCUAGCUUACCGGAUAGCAUCAGAGGCCUUACUAUGCUCAAGUCUCUUUUGUUAGAUACAUGCACGAGGCUCCAUUCACUUCCAAAGCUUCCACCAACUUUGAAGGAACUAAGUGUAAGAGACUGCAAAUCACUGGAAAGAAUGAUUAUUCCCCCAAACCUGUUGAAAUCAUUAGAUGUCAUGCAUCUAACUGGUUGUGACAAACUGGUUAAGAUUGAUGGAUUGUUCCGGUUAGAACCCAUAGGAAAUUUUAAUCCAGAAAUCAUCAACAAUUUGGGGCUCCUUGGCUUGGGAUACAAGGGACAGACUGAAAUGGAAUUGUGCAAUAACCUGACAUUUGCUAGGAAGAAGUAUCCUCUUCAGGGGCUCUAUGAAUUUGGUAUAAUCAGCACUUUCCUUCCUGGCAGCAUGGUUCCAUAUUGGUUCCGUAUUAAGAGUUUCGACUCCAAAAUGUCUUUCGCUGUACCUGCUUUUCCUAAUCUCAGAAUCAAAGGCUUUGAUGUUUGUGUUGUUUAUGCAUGCUCUGACCCCCACAAUGAUGGAAAAUUGCAUGAUUUUCAUCUUAAAAUUGGUAACAAGACCAAGGGUCUGGAAUGGACCUAUGCCCCAAUGUUCCAUACGAAUGGAGAUACGGUGUGGAUAAGCCAUUGGAAUCUCACUGAUCAGUUGCAUGCUGGUGAUGAAUUGAAUGUUUCAGUGGUUACUGGGGUUGGUUUCCAGGUAAAGGAAUGCGCAACAGAAUUUGUGCUCGAGCAAGUAGACGAAUUUAGCCAAUCAAAUAGUGGACAAGAAGUAAUCCAAGGCUGCGAAUUUCCUUAUCAAAGUGUCCUAGAUGGAGAUUUGUCAGAAUAUCAGAGCACCAAGGGUAUGUAUAUCCUUUGCAACUACAAUCAACAUCCAGACGUGCAUUUCUCCUCAGAACCAUUCGGGUGAUUGGUGGGAGGAUGUCUCGAGCUUCUACAUGCCUCCUCCUAUAGUACCUACAGCUACAGGUGGAUGAGAUGAAGAUGGUCUUGGAAAAGAUAAAAGGAGAUUUUGUGAAUUUGCAAAUCUUGAUCGGUUUUACAGACGUCUUUCUUAAUUUCCACAUUGGUCUCAUUGUUGCCUGAACUCAUGAGAAAAAUUAAACAACUUGUGACUAGUUUGGUUUUAGCUCGUUUAUGUCUAUUAAUUAAUUAAUUUAAAUGUAAUUUUAAAGCUCGUUUAAUAGAGGGGUUGAGUUCAAAUGUAAAAUUUUAUUGAAUUUGAUCAUGUUCGCGGGCAAAUUCA